CCGGGAGCAGACGGCCGGACAGACGGGCGCACGCGAGGACGGACGGACGGACGCACGGAGGGCUGCGGGCACGCACGGCCCGGGCCGGCUCUCCGAGGCCCGCCCGGGAGGGCCGGAGCGGCGCUCAGAGUUUUGAUUUGGCUGCUACCCUGAAAUAUAGGCCCUAAAAAUGCCUGCUUAUUUGGACUUAGAAGAUGACCUAGAUAAAUGAUAAAAAUUUAAGAAAGACUUUUUGGCUUUCUCGUUGCCCGCUUGGCAUUAUGCUUCUGGAAUAAUACCCACCAUGGUUUUGGAUGACCUUCCAAACUUAGAACACAUCUACGCUUCCUUGUGCUCAUCAGCAGUGGAGGACUCAGAGAUGGAUUUUGACUCUGGUCUAGAAGAUGAUGAUACAAAAAGUGAUAGCAUUUUGGAAGAGUCCACUAUCUUCGUGGCCUUCAAAGGAAAUAUAGAUGAUAAAGACUUCAAAUGGAAAUUGGACACAAUAUUGGAGAAUGUGCCCAAUUUGUUACACAUGGAAUCCAGCAAGCUAAAGGUGCAGAAGGUGGAGCCCUGGAACAGUGUGCGUGUGACAUUUAACAUCCCCCGGGAAGCAGCAGAGCGGCUAAGGAUCCUGGCUCAGAGCAACAACCAGCAGCUUCGGGAUCUGGGGAUUCUCUCCGUUCAGAUUGAAGGGGAAGGUGCUAUCAACCUGGCUUUGGCUCAGAACCGAAACCAAGAUGUAAGAAUGAACGGACCUGUGGGAGCUGGAAAUUCAGUUAGGAUGGAGGCAGGAUUUCCCAUGGCAGGUGGGCCAGGAUUAAUAAGGAUGACCAGCCCUGCCACUGUUAUGAUACCCCAGGGUGGAAACGUGUCAUCUUCCAUGAUGGCACCAGGCCCCAAUCCAGAGCUGCAGCCCAGGACUCCUCGCCCUGCUUCUCAAUCAGACGCAAUGGAUCCACUCCUCUCUGGGCUCCAUGUACAGCAGCAAAGUCAUCCCUCAGGAUCUUUAGCUCCUCCACACCAUCCAAUGCAGUCUGUUCCUGUGAACAGACAAAUGACCCCUGCUAAUUUUCCUCAGCUGCAGCAGCAGCAACAACAGCAGCAGCAGCAGCAACAGUUGCAAGCAAGACCUCCACAGCAACAUCAGCAGCAGCCACAGGGAAUUCGACCCCAAUUUACUGCCCCAACUCAGGUGCCUGUUCCUCCGGGCUGGAACCAGCUGCCUUCUGGAGCCCUUCAGCCUCCUCCAGCCCAGGGUUCUCUGGGCACAAUGACUGCAAACCAAGGAUGGAAGAAGGCUCCUCUGCCUGGCCCAAUGCCACAGCAGCUCCAGGCAAGACCAUCCUUAGCCACGGUACAGACACCUUCCCACCCUCCCCCUCCAUAUCCCUUUGGCAGCCAGCAAGCCUCACAAGCCCAUACAAACUUUCCUCAGAUGAGCAAUCCAGGCCAGUUCACAGCUCCUCAGCUGAAGAGCUUACAGGGAGGGCCUUCCAGGGUCCCGACCCCCCUGCAGCAGCCCCACCUCACCAACAAGUCUCCUGCCUCCUCACCCUCCUCCUUCCAGCAGGGGUCUCCUGCAUCCUCCCCAACGGUUAACCAAACUCAGCAGCAGAUGGGACCAAGGCCACCUCAAAAUAGCACACUUCCCCAGGGAUUUCAGCAGCCUGUCAGCUCUCCAGGUCGGAAUCCUAUGGUUCAACAGGGAAAUGUGCCACCUAACUUCAUGGUGAUGCAGCAGCAACCACCAAACCAGGGGCCACAGAGUUUACAUCCAGGCCUAGGAGGAAUGCCUAAACGCCUCCCACCUGGCUUCUCAGCAGGACAGGCCAAUCCGAACUUUAUGCAAGGUCAGGUGCCUUCGACCACAGCAACCACCCCUGGGAAUUCAGGAGCCCCUCAGCUGCAAGCAAAUCAAAAUGUCCAGCAUGCAGGUGGUCAAGGAUCCGGCCCACCUCAAAACCAGAUGCAGGUGUCCCACGGGCCACCAAGUAUGAUGCAGCCCAGCCUCAUGGGAAUUCAUGGCAACAUGAACAACCAGCAGGCUGGUAGUUCUGGGGUUCCUCAGGUGAACCUGGGCAACAUCCAAGGCCAGCCCCAGCAGGGCCCACCAUCUCAGCUGAUGGGCAUGCACCAACAGGUUGUGCCCUCCCAGGGCCAGAUGGUCCAGCAACAAGGAACUUUAAACCCUCAGAACUCCAUGAUCCUCUCGAGGGCCCAGCUUAUGCCACAGGGCCAGAUGAUGGUGAAUCCUCAGAGCCAAAAUCUUGGGCCCUCGCCCCAAAGGAUGACCCCACCCAAACAGAUGCUUCCCCAGCAGGGCCCACAAAUGAUGGCACCACAUAACCAGAUGAUGGGGCCUCAGGGGCAAGUUUUGCUCCAACAGAACCCAAUGAUAGAGCAGAUCAUGACCAAUCAGAUGCAGGGGAAUAAGCAGCAAUUUAACACUCAGAACCAAUCCACUGUCAUGCCGGGACCAGCACAGAUAAUGAGGGGACCAACUCCCAACAUGCAAGGAAACAUGGUGCAGUUUACGGGACAGAUGUCAGGACAGAUGCUGCCCCAGCAAGGGCCCGUGAACAGCAGCCCGUCUCAGGUUAUGGGGAUUCAGGGGCAGGUCCUGCGGCCACCAGGGCCCAGCCCACACAUGGCCCAGCAGCAUGGUGAUCCUGCUACUACGGCAAAUAAUGACGUCAGCUUGUCUCAGAUGAUGCCUGAUGUUAGCAUGCAACAAACCAACAUGGUUCCCCCGCACGUGCAGGCCAUGCAGGGAAACAGUGCCUCGGGAAACCACUUCUCAGGCCAUGGGAUGCCUUUCAGUGCACCUUUCACUGGAACACCCAAUGGAAAUCAGAUGUCCUGUGGUCAGAAUCCAGGCUUCCCUGUCAAUAAGGAUGUCACGCUAACAAGCCCAUUGUUGGUCAACUUAUUGCAAAGUGACAUUUCUGCAGGCCAUUUUGGGGUAAAUAAUAAACAGAAUAAUACCAAUGCAAAUAAACCGAAGAAGAAGAAACCCCCUCGGAAGAAGAAAAAUAGUCAGCAAGAUCUAAACACCCCGGAUACUCGCCCAGCUGGUCUGGAGGAGGCUGAUCAACAAUCAUUGCCUGGAGAACAAGGAAUUAACUUGGACAACUCAGGCCCUAAACUGCCAGAAUUUUCAAACCGGCCACCAGGUUAUCCUUCUCAACCAGUUGAACAGAGGCCACUUCAACAGAUGCCUCCUCAGCUCAUGCAGCAUGUGGCGCCCCCACCACAGCCACCACAGCAGCAGCCACAGCCACAACUGCCUCAGCAGCAGCAGCAGCAGCAGCAGCAGCCACCACCUCCCAGUCAGCCCCAGUCUCAGCAGCAGCAGCAGCAGCAGCAGCAGCAGCAGCAGCAGCAGCAGCAGCAGCAACAGCAGCAGCAGCAGCAGCAAAUGAUGAUGAUGCUCAUGAUGCAGCAGGAUCCCAAAUCAAUUAGGCUUCCAGUUUCCCAGAAUGUCCACCCCCCAAGAGGCCCCCUAAACCCAGACUCUCAGAGAAUGCCCAUGCAACAGACUGCCAGCAUGCCUGUCAUGGUCAGUUUGCAAGGACCUGCUUCCGUGCCACCAUCGCCCGAUAAACAAAGAAUGCCAAUGCCUGUGAAUACUCCUUUGGGAAGCAAUUCAAGGAAAAUGGUGUACCAGGAGAACCCACAGAAUCCUUCCAGCUCACCACUGGGAGAGGUGUCCUCGCUUCCUGAAGCGAGUGGCAGUGAAGUACCAUCUGUCUCGGGGGGCCCAAGUAACAUGCCUUCACAUUUAGUAGUUUCCCAGAAUCAGAUAAUGAUGGCAGGGCCAAAACCUGGACCAUCACCCCUUUCAGCAGCUCAAGGUGCAGCUCCCCAGCAACCUCCUGUAAAUUCCCUGCCCAGCUCUCAUGGCCACCACUUUCCAAAUGUGGCUGCUCCAACCCAGACAUCUAGGCCUAAAACACCAAACAGAGCCAGCCCCAGACCCUAUUAUCCUCAGACUCCUAACAACCGCCCUCCCAGCACAGAACCUUCAGAAAUCAAUUUGUCACCAGAAAGACUCAAUGCCUCCAUAGCAGGACUCUUCCCCCCACAGAUUAAUAUUCCUUUACCUCCUAGGCCAAAUUUAAACAGGGGCUUUGAUCAACAGGGCCUGAAUCCAACAACUUUGAAGGCUAUUGGGCAAGCACCUUCAAAUCUUACAAUGAAUAUGAAUAAUCCUUCCAAUUUUGCUGCCCCACAAACUCACAAGUUAGAUUCUGUGGUGGUGAAUUCUGGAAAGCAGUCUAACUCUGGAGGAACUAAACGGGCAAGUCCAAGCAGCAGUCGCAGGUCUAGUCCUGGGUCCAGUAGGAAAACCACCCCAAGUCCUGGGAGGCAAAAUUCAAAAGCCCCUAAACUUACUCUGACCACUCAAACAAGUGCAGCCGUGUUGCAGAACGUGGAGUUGCCGAGGAAUGUAUUGGUCAGUCCCACUCCCUUGGCCAAUCCCCCUGUACCUGGGAGCUUUCCUAACAACAGCGGGCUGAAUCCUCAGAAUCCCGCCAUGCCCGUGGCUGCAGUUGGGGGUGUUCUUGAGGAAAACAAGGAGAGCUUGAAUGUGCCUCAGGACAGCGAAUGCCAGAAUUCCCAGGGUAGGAAGGAACAGGUAAAUACUGAGCUAAAAGCAGUCCCUGCCCAAGAAGUUAAGAUGGUUGUCCCUGAAGAUCAAUCCAAAAAGGAUGGGCAACCCUUGGAUCCUAACAAACUUCCCAGUGUCGAAGAGAACAAAAAUUUGGUGUCUCCUGCCAUGAGGGAAGCACCAACAUCAUUAAGUCAACUUCUUGACAACUCUGGAGCUCCUAAUGUAACCAUUAAACCCCCUGGGCUUACAGAACUAGAAGUAACACCUCCAGUAGUUUCUGGGGAGGACCUCAAAAAAGUAUCUGUCAUUCCCACACUGCAGGAUCCGUCUUCUUCUAAAGAACCCUCUGGUUCCCUAAAUUUACCUCAUAGUAAUGAGCUGUGUUCAACCCAAGUGCAUCCAGAACUGAGUGAGGUCAGUUCUAAUGUUGCACCAAGCCUCCCUCCAGUAAUGUCAAGACCUGUCAGCUCUUCUUCCAUUUCCACUCCCUUGCCCCCGAACCAGAUAACUGUUUUUGUAACUUCCAAUCCGAUCACAACUUCAGCUAACACGUCAGCAGCUCUGCCAACUCACCUGCAGUCUGCAUUAAUGUCAACAGUUGUCACAAUGCCCAACGUGGGUAGCAAGGUUAUGGUUUCUGAGGGACAGUCAGCUGCUCAGUCUAAUGCCCGGCCUCAGUUCAUUACACCUGUCUUUAUCAAUUCAUCCUCAAUAAUUCAGGUUAUGAAAGGAUCACAGCCAAGCACAAUUCCUGCAGCCCCACUGACAACCAACCCUGGCUUGAUGCCUCCCUCCGUUGCAGUUGUUGGCCCUUUACAUAUACCUCAGAACAUAAAGUUUUCUUCUGCUCCUGUACCGCCUAAUGCCCCCUCCAGUAGCCCUGCUCCUAACAUACAGACAGGUCGACCCUUGGUCCUUAACUCACGAGCCACCCCUGUUCAGCUUCCUUCUCCCCCUUGUACAACUUCUCCUGUUGUCCCUCCUCAUCUUCCUGUCCAGCAAGUCAAAGAAUUGAAUCCAGAUGAGGCUAGUCCUCAGGUGAGCACCUCAGCAGAUCAGGGGACUCUGCCUUCUUCACAGUCAACCACAGUGGUUUCUCCCCUUUUGACCAAUAGUCCAGGCUCCUCUGGCAACCGGCGAAGCCCAGUCUCAUCUAGUAAGGGCAAAGGAAAAGUGGACAAAAUUGGCCAGAUUUUACUGACCAAGGCAUGUAAGAAAGUCACAGGCUCUCUUGAGAAAGGGGAAGAACAAUAUGGUGCAGAUGGAGAGACUGAAGUCCAAGGGCCAGAGACCACAGCUCCAGGGCUCAUGGGAACAGAGCAGUUAUCCACAGAGCUGGACAGUAAAACCCCAACACCCCCAGCACCCACUCUGCUAAAAAUGACCUCUAGUCCUGUAGGCCCGGGCUCCACCUCAGCAGGACCCAGCUUACCGGGCGGUGCUCUCCCCACCAGUGUACGUUCAAUAGUAACCACUCUGGUACCCUCUGAGCUCAUCUCCACGGCGCCGACCACAAAAAACAAUCAUGGUGGCAUAACAUCUGAGCCACUUGCGGGUGGCCUAGUGGAGGAGAAGGUGGGAUCCCAUCCAGAGCCUCUGCCCAGCAUAGACCGAGUUCCUGAGAGGCAAGGAGGACAAGGGUACCUGGCACAGCCCCUUGCACCUACCUCUUCACAGAGUUUAAUCCCAAAGGAAACCCCAGCCACGGCACUACAGGGGUCUGUUGCUAGAUCAGAACUCGAGGCAAAUGCUGCCAUAGUCUCUGGGCAAAGCAGUGAGCCCAAAGAGAUAGUUGAAAAGUCCAAAACCCCAAGCCGAAGAAAUUCCCGAACUGAAGAGCCAGCUGUAGCUUCUGAAAGUGUGGAAAAUGGACAUCGUAAACGAUCCUCUCGGCCUGCUUCAGCCUCCAGCUCUACAAAAGAAACCAUGGAGGCCAGAACGCAGCGGGGUAACAUGUUUAAAGUGCUGAAGGAAAAGAACUGUUAACCAAGAAUUCAACAUCUGGCAAAACGGUCCUUCAAAAAUGAGAGUGAAAAGAAGACAUUUCCAGACAUAACCAGUGCGGUGCAAUCCAAGCGGAGAAAAUCCAAGUAAACGAGCUGGACGGCGAUUUGAUUACUUGUAAAUGUGUGUGAAUUUUACAAAGAGCAAUUUUGAGCUGUGACUUUUCUAAAUCCAUUUCUGUACAGUUAGUCAUUUUAAUAACGUGGCCCUUUUCCUAGUCCCUGUAACCUGUUUCGUGAAGUGCAAUGGGGAAAGCAGGGUUGUUGAGCCCUUUUGAUGUUGCAAAGUAAAGUUCAAGGUUUCUAAAAUGUUGCCAUGUACUGAGAGGAGCUAAUGCCAUUAUAAAUGUUAUUAGUUUUCACAUUUCCUAAGCAGCCUAGAGUACAGGGUGAGCAUUUUUAGAUCUUCUAAUGGUGUAUUGUGCUGUGGAAGUGUUGUGUGUGAAUAGCAGUUGUGGGGGCAAAAGCAAUCUUCUCAUUUGGAAAUGUUGUAAAUAAUUUUAUUAUAUAGUUUUUGGAUGUAUUUGUUGUAGAAAUGGACCAGUGAAUAAAGAGAAUCUAAGGAUUUGUACAAUGUGAAA